AACCCAGUGGCGGAGCGGUUUCACGCGACUUGACACUCAAGUACACCCCUGUUCAAGUCAGGGCUGGGUUA